AUCUAGCCGACGAGUCCCAAAGUAGGACGAAACGCGCGUCCUGGAU
rnacentral:hammerhead_ribozyme from 1 species